rnacentral:misc_RNA from 1 species
AGUGAGCAACACAUUUUGGAAAUUACAGGAAAAAAUGACGUGCAUAAAUUGCAGAGAAAAUAGAGACCAAUUCCAAAAUUCUUCAAAUCUAAAAUCAAAUAGAGUCAACAUGAAAUCCAAAUCCUCUACAGAGAAUAGCGAUGACGUCAUAGCCUUCGCACCGGAUGGAGGUUAUGCAUGGGUGAUUCUGGCGUGUAGUUUUUACAGCAGUUUCUGUAUGGAAGGCUUAAUCGCUUCGUUUGGGCUUCUGUUACCCUCGUUGAUGAGGGAAUUCAAAGCUUCCGCCGCCGUUGUUUCAAUACUGAAUUCCACACUCAUUGGAAUCUUCCUGGUUCUAGGAUACUUCUCCAGUCUCCUGAUCAAGAGGUACGGGACACGGACAGUCAUGUUUCUGGGAGCUUGUUUUUACUCCCUUGGACUUUUCUGCAGUUUCUUUGCACCAAACAUUUUGGUGUUGGAGUUGGUAUGAUAUUUGUUCCUUCAAUAAUGAUCGUAAACCAGUACUUCGAUCGCAAGCGCUCUCUUGCCAAUGGAAUAUUGACCUCGGGCUCCGGCAUCGGUCUACUGGUGAUGUCACCAAUCAUCGAGAGAUCAGUGGAGGCCUAUGGAUGGCGAGGAUCUCUGCUGAUUUAUUCUUGUUUUACAUUACAAUUGUGUGUCUGUGCUUGUCUAAUGAGACCUGUCAAAACGUUCAACAAUCGGAUGCAGAAAAAUAGUGAAAAGCAUAUCGAUGAACAAAUAUCGCCUCUUGCGAGAAAAGUCUGUGAUAGAGAGAAUUAUGAUGCCAGAUAUGCAUCAAUGCCAUUUUUAAGAAAUCGAAAUUCUUUCAUUGAGAGUUGCAGCACCUUAAGUCUUCCCAUGCUUUUUGGAAGCCAAUUGUCCGUCGAUAAAGCAAAAGAAUCAAUUGACUUCAUAGAAUGCGAGAGCACUGAAACGCAACGUUCAGAGACAUGCGCUCUUCCCUCUUUCUGUCGUAGCAAACCAUUCAUAUUUAUUACCAUUGGAUGUCUUUUGACUCAGAUGGGACAAUUCAUUCCCUUGAUUUUCAUUGGCGAUUACGGAAAUCACGUGGGCGUGUCGUCAGAAGACAUCAGCAUCAUUUUGUCUAUAUUUGGAGUAGCAAACACACUUGGUCGGUUUUUUGCCGGACUGAUCGCCAACAUUGGACGCUUCAGUCACCUCACUAUCUGUAGCGUCGGUCUACUCCUCAGUGCUGUAGCUUGCUUUCUGUUCUUCCUUUGUACAACAUUCAGUACUCUGCUGGGAUUUGCCAUUACAUACGGAUUUUUCAUUGGAUUUUUCCCACCUAUGCAGCCACUGAUGAUAAUGGAUUACCUCGGGUUGGAUCAGCUGACUGCAGGCUUUGGCUUUGUUACAAUGUUAAAGGCGCCGGCUGCCUUCAUCGGACCACCAUUCGCAGGAGCACUACUGGAAACGACCGGGAACUAUGAGACAGUGAAUGGACUGGCUGGGAUCAUUUUCACUCUCGCUGUUUGUGCACAAAUGUUUGCGCUCUGCUGGAAACCCCACGUAAAGAAGAGUCAACAAGAUGCUGAAUUGGACGUUUAACAAUGACAUAGACAAAUAAAAAUUUUUGCUUCCAAACAAGACUUUUGAUCAGGUCCAUAUAUAUACCAUACAUGACUUUGAUUUGACUUCGACAGGUUCCUAAUGUGUAUUAAAAUAUUCUUUGCAUUUGCUCUUAUGUCUAGCAGGGUCACAUUAUUUGCGUCUACUCUCCGAUUGAUUGAACAAUGGAUUGAUUUGUACAUUGAUGCAAGAGCAAUAAGCAAAUUUUUCUCCACAACGAAAUUAAAUUAUUCAACUUAAAUUCAUGCUGGAUCUACUUGUAUUGGACUCAUUAAUGUUUACUUUAUUUUCUUAACAUUUUAUGAUAUCGUUGGUAACCGUAUAAUUGGUCCCGAGCAUUUUAACAAACGAUGUCAAUAUCAUAACCUUUGUCUGUUGUAGUGCUUGUUUAAUAUGGUAUUAUUUGUGUAUGCAUUGUAUUUUCUCUUAUUUUUGCAAGGUGCUUGUAAUGCGUUUUAUUCAUAUUGACAAGUGUGCCAAUUAAAAUCAUAAGUCUUCACAUGCACAAUUUAAAUUCAUACGUAAUGUUGUCCAUGAAGAUUCUUAUUUAAGGCUUGACCCAGCUACGUGUAUCUAUAGUGGUGGUAUGUCCAAUGAGUUUUCAUGCAAUUCUCAUAACUUGCAGUCAUCUUAAUAUCACAAAUGGAGAAUAGACCAGAGUUAUCAUAACUGUACUUAAUAUGUCAUGUCUGUUACUUUUAUUGUUAUAUUUUGAAAUUUUUGGCAUUGUGGUGCAAAUCAAGAUUAAAGCCUUUUUUAAAGCCUUAUACAUUUUGAUGUACAUGUUCAUGUAGUAGUUUUGUUAUAUUUUUUUCUGUUUUUGAAUAUGUUGAUAUACAGCUGAAAUAAAAUUAUUUCAAUUUU